rnacentral:rRNA from 1 species
GGUAGUCCACGCCGUAAACGAUGUCGACUUGGAGGUUGUGCCCUUGAGGCGUGGCUUCCGGAGCUAACGCGUUAAGUCGACCGCCUGGGGAGUACGGCCGCAAGGUUAAAACUCAAAUGAAUUGACGGGGGCCCGCACAAGCGGUGGAGCAUGUGGUUUAAUUCGAUGCAACGCGAAGAACCUUACCUACUCUUGACAUCCAGAGACCUUAGCAGAGAUGCUUUGGUGCCUUCGGGAACUCUGAGACGGGUGCUGCAUGGCUGUCGUCAGCUCGUGUUGUGAAAUGUUGGGUUAAGUCCCGCAACGAGCGCAACCCUUAUCCUUUGUUGCCAGCGGUUAGGCCGGGAACUCAAAGGAGACUGCCAGUGAUAAACUGGAGGAAGGUGGGGAUGACGUCAAGUCAUCAUGGCCCUUACGAGUAGGGCUACACACGUGCUACAAUGGCGCAUACAAAGAGAAGCGACCUCGCGAGAGCAAGCGGACCUCAUAAAGUGCGUCGUAGUCCGGAUUGGAGUCUGCAACUCGACUCCAUGAAGUCGGAAUCGCUAGUAAUCGUAGAUCAGAAUGCUACGGUGAAUACGUUCCCGGGCCUUGUACACACCGCCCGUCACACCAUGGGAGUGGGUUGCAAAAGAAGUAGGUAGCUUAACCUUCGGGAGGGCGCUUACCACUUUGUGAUUCAUGACUGGGGUGAAGUCGUAACAAGGUAACCGUAGGGGAGCCUGC